GGUUAAGCGACUAAGCGUACACGGUGGAUGCCCUGGCAGUCAGAGGCGAUGAAGGACGUGCUAAUCUGCGAUAAGCGUCGGUGAGGUGAUAUGAACCGUUAUAACCGGCGAUUUCCGAAUGGGGAAACCCAGUGUGUUUCGACACACUAUCAUUAACUGAAUCCAUAGGUUAAUGAGGCGAACCGGGGGAACUGAAACAUCUAAGUACCCCGAGGAAAAGAAAUCAACCGAGAUUCCCCCAGUAGCGGCGAGCGAACGGGGAGGAGCCCAGAGUCUGAAUCAGUGUGUGUGUUAGUGGAAGCGUCUGGAAAGGCGCGCGAUACAGGGUGACAGCCCCGUACACAAAAAUGCACAUAUUGUGAGCUCGAUGAGUAGGGCGGGACACGUGGUAUCCUGUCUGAAUAUGGGGGGACCAUCCUCCAAGGCUAAAUACUCCUGACUGACCGAUAGUGAACCAGUACCGUGAGGGAAAGGCGAAAAGAACCCCGGCGAGGGGAGUGAAAAAGAACCUGAAACCGUGUACGUACAAGCAGUGGGAGCCUCUUAAUGGGGUGACUGCGUACCUUUUGUAUAAUGGGUCAGCGACUUAUAUUCUGUAGCAAGGUUAACCGAAUAGGGGAGCCGAAGGGAAACCGAGUCUUAACUGGGCGUUAAGUUGCAGGGUAUAGACCCGAAACCCGGUGAUCUAGCCAUGGGCAGGUUGAAGGUUGGGUAACACUAACUGGAGGACCGAACCGACUAAUGUUGAAAAAUUAGCGGAUGACUUGUGGCUGGGGGUGAAAGGCCAAUCAAACCGGGAGAUAGCUGGUUCUCCCCGAAAGCUAUUUAGGUAGCGCCUCGUGAAUUCAUCUCCGGGGGUAGAGCACUGUUUCGGCAAGGGGGUCAUCCCGACUUACCAACCCGAUGCAAACUGCGAAUACCGGAGAAUGUUAUCACGGGAGACACACGGCGGGUGCUAACGUCCGUCGUGAAGAGGGAAACAACCCAGACCGCCAGCUAAGGUCCCAAAGUCAUGGUUAAGUGGGAAACGAUGUGGGAAGGCCCAGACAGCCAGGAUGUUGGCUUAGAAGCAGCCAUCAUUUAAAGAAAGCGUAAUAGCUCACUGGUCGAGUCGGCCUGCGCGGAAGAUGUAACGGGGCUAAACCAUGCACCGAAGCUGCGGCAGCGACACUAUGUGUUGUUGGGUAGGGGAGCGUUCUGUAAGCCUGUGAAGGUGUGCUGUGAGGCAUGCUGGAGGUAUCAGAAGUGCGAAUGCUGACAUAAGUAACGAUAAAGCGGGUGAAAAGCCCGCUCGCCGGAAGACCAAGGGUUCCUGUCCAACGUUAAUCGGGGCAGGGUGAGUCGACCCCUAAGGCGAGGCCGAAAGGCGUAGUCGAUGGGAAACAGGUUAAUAUUCCUGUACUUGGUGUUACUGCGAAGGGGGGACGGAGAAGGCUAUGUUGGCCGGGCGACGGUUGUCCCGGUUUAAGCGUGUAGGCUGGUUUUCCAGGCAAAUCCGGAAAACCAAGGCUGAGGCGUGAUGACGAGGCACUACGGUGCUGAAGCGACAAAUGCCCUGCUUCCAGGAAAAGCCUCUAAGCAUCAGGUAACAUCAAAUCGUACCCCAAACCGACACAGGUGGUCAGGUAGAGAAUACCAAGGCGCUUGAGAGAACUCGGGUGAAGGAACUAGGCAAAAUGGUGCCGUAACUUCGGGAGAAGGCACGCUGAUAUGUAGGUGAAGCGACUUGCUCGUGGAGCUGAAAUCAGUCGAAGAUACCAGCUGGCUGCAACUGUUUAUUAAAAACACAGCACUGUGCAAACACGAAAGUGGACGUAUACGGUGUGACGCCUGCCCGGUGCCGGAAGGUUAAUUGAUGGGGUUAGCGGUAACGCGAAGCUCUUGAUCGAAGCCCCGGUAAACGGCGGCCGUAACUAUAACGGUCCUAAGGUAGCGAAAUUCCUUGUCGGGUAAGUUCCGACCUGCACGAAUGGCGUAAUGAUGGCCAGGCUGUCUCCACCCGAGACUCAGUGAAAUUGAACUCGCUGUGAAGAUGCAGUGUACCCGCGGCAAGACGGAAAGACCCCGUGAACCUUUACUAUAGCUUGACACUGAACAUUGAGCCUUGAUGUGUAGGAUAGGUGGGAGGCUUUGAAGUGUGGACGCCAGUCUGCAUGGAGCCGACCUUGAAAUACCACCCUUUAAUGUUUGAUGUUCUAACGUGGGCCCCUAAUCGGGGUUGCGGACAGUGUCUGGUGGGUAGUUUGACUGGGGCGGUCUCCUCCUAAAGAGUAACGGAGGAGCACGAAGGUUGGCUAAUCCUGGUCGGACAUCAGGAGGUUAGUGCAAUGGCAUAAGCCAGCUUGACUGCGAGCGUGACGGCGCGAGCAGGUGCGAAAGCAGGUCAUAGUGAUCCGGUGGUUCUGAAUGGAAGGGCCAUCGCUCAACGGAUAAAAGGUACUCCGGGGAUAACAGGCUGAUACCGCCCAAGAGUUCAUAUCGACGGCGGUGUUUGGCACCUCGAUGUCGGCUCAUCACAUCCUGGGGCUGAAGUAGGUCCCAAGGGUAUGGCUGUUCGCCAUUUAAAGUGGUACGCGAGCUGGGUUUAGAACGUCGUGAGACAGUUCGGUCCCUAUCUGCCGUGGGCGCUGGAGAACUGAGGGGGGCUGCUCCUAGUACGAGAGGACCGGAGUGGACGCAUCACUGGUGUUCGGGUUGUCAUGCCAAUGGCACUGCCCGGUAGCUAAAUGCGGAAGAGAUAAGUGCUGAAAGCAUCUAAGCACGAAACUUGCCCCGAGAUGAGUUCUCCCUGACUCCUUGAGAGUCCUGAAGGAACGUUGAAGACGACGACGUUGAUAGGCCGGGUGUGUAAGCGCAGCGAUGCGUUGAGCUAACCGGUACUAAUGAACCGUGAGG
rnacentral:rRNA from 1 species